rnacentral:tRNA from 1 species
ACAUCGGUAGCACAGUGAUUAGAGCAGUCUGGCAGAAUGAGAGAGACGCGGGUUCAAUUCCCGUCCGAUAUC